UACGUAGGAGACGAGCGUUGUCCGGAGUUACUGGGCGUAAAGGGUGCGCAGGUGGCGGCGCGCGUGGGGGGUGAAAUCGCCCGGCUUAACUGGGCGGGGGCCUUCCAGACGGCGUGGCUUGAGCAGCGGAGGGGGACGUGGAAUUCCUGGUGUAGCGGUGGAAUGCGCAGAUAUCAGGAGGAACACCGAUGGCGAAGGCAGGUCUCUGGGCCGCAACUGACGCUGAGGAGCGAAAGCAUGGGGAGCGAACAGG
rnacentral:rRNA from 1 species